UACGGAAGGCAGCAGUGGGGAAUAUUGCACAAUGGGCGCAAGCCUGAUGCAGCCAUGCCGCGUGUAUGAAAAAGGCCUUCGGGUUGUAAAGUACUUUCAGUCGUGAGGAAGGUGUUAAGGUUAAUAACCUUAGCAAUUGACGUUAGCGACAGAAGAAGCACCGGCUAACUCCGUGCCAGCAGCCGCGGUAAUACGGAGGGUGCGAGCGUUAAUCGGAAUUACUGGGCGUAAAGGGCACGCAGGCGGUUAAUUAAGUUGGAUGUGAAAUCCCCGGGCUUAACCUGGGAAUGGCAUUCAAGCUGGUUAGCUAGAGUCUUGUAGAGGGGGUAGAAUUCCAUGUGUAGCGGUGAAAUGCGUAGAGAUGUGGAGGAAUACCGGUGGCGAAGGCGGCCCCUGGACAAAGACUGACGCUCAUGUGCGAAAGCGUGGGGAGCAAAC
rnacentral:rRNA from 1 species